rnacentral:lncRNA from 1 species
GGCAAAUGCUCCCAGGCAAGUGCAUUGCAAUGUGACUCUGUGCCCUGCAGGACAGAAAAAUACCGACGGGUCGCCUAGCAGAUUGGGCAUCGGUGUAACAGUUUUUUUUUUAAAUUAGUCCUCAUCGACCAAGUCUGUCAAAAACAGAGAAGCUGUGGGUUUAUUUGAACAUUUUUAAGGCGCUCAAAGACUUUGUUUAUUUAAAGCACUUUGAGAUAUGCCAGAUUUAAGUAAAUGGAAACUUUAGCCGCCUCAGCCGGCUAUUGAGAAUCCUUUGGGAGAAGAUAAUCUUGUUGGACAGAAGGGAGGAGCACUGAGCAAGAUUUGAGGUAAGCCAUUGUAACGUGUUGUCCGACUCUCCAGCCUGCUGGUAGAAUAUUCAAAGCAAAAACCCAACUGAAGUAAGCUACUCGCAUUGCAAUUUAGACAGGAGCCAGCACAGCCUGAGUAGAGCGUGGUUCCCAUCCAAUUCAUCUUUGAUUACUCCUAAAACUUUCCAUUCCCAAGUUGUCCACUUGCACAAGGGCAACUCACAUGUGAUUGAACAUGGGAGAGGCUAUCCAGUGACAUGGAGACCAGAGAAGAAAUUAUCAGAGGAAUGGACUGGGGAAAAUGGGACCAUGUUCUAGCUCUUCCAGUGAAAUCCAUUUAUUCAAAGAACAAUGACUGAGCGUUGAGUGCGUCUGAGAUGUUUGCUGUACUCUAAAUGUUUAUGGCCCCUCAAAAUUUAUAUGUUGAAAUCUGAUCUCCAAAAUGAUAGUAUCAGCAGAGGAGGGGACUUUGGGGAUGAGUGGGUCAUGAGGGUGGAACCACAUAAAAGGGAUCUGUGCCCUUUUAAAAGAGGCUGCAGAUAGCUCUGUCGCCCCUUUGGCCUCUGGAGGAUACAAGGAGAAGUUAGGGAUCUGCGGCAAGGAAUAGGGCUCUCACCAGUGAGCACUGACUGCCAGGAUUCUGGUCUUGGACUUCCAGCUCUAGAACUGGGAGGAAUAAAUGUUUGUUGUU